rnacentral:rRNA from 1 species
CUACGGGAUGCUGCAGUCAAGAAUCUUUUACAAUGCGCGAAAGCGUGAUAGAGCGAGCCAGAGUGUCUUGCAAUCGCAAGACUUUUGUUAAAUUUAAAUCGUUUAACGAAUAAGGACUGGGUAAGACGAGUGCCAGCCGCCGCGGUAAUACUCGCGGUCCAAGUCGCAGCCAUUUUUAUUGGGUCUAAAACAAUCCGUAGCUGGCUAAGCAAGUCUUCUGUGAAAUUCUAACUCUUAAAGUUGGAGCGGGCAGAAGGUACUACUUAGCUAGAGACUGGAAGGCGUAGCGAGUACGUUUAAAGUAGCAGUAAAAUGUUUUAAUCUUAAACGGACUAACAAUAGCGAAGGCACGUUACGAGGACAGUUCUGACAGUAAGGGAUGAAGGCUAGGGGCGCAAAACGGAUUAGAUACCCGAGUAGUC